rnacentral:misc_RNA from 1 species
GACAGUGUCCUUGCAUGAAUGAACUCCUCAACUCUACCAUUUGCAAAUUGACCAAGAAGCUUAGGUCCUUGACCCUUCUUUGACAAGCAUUCGAAAGUUCUAAUCUCUUCAUCCCUAUUAAAAAAACGAUCUACUCCUUCACCAUACAUUCGAACCAAAACUCUCCUCGGGACGUUUUCGUUCUUAGUAGGCCAACUUAUCCUAUAAACCUCAUUAGUCAUAGCACCACUCAAAUGAUGAACUUUCAAGUUCUUUAGAUCCAACACAUCCCCCCAUUUUGUAGCUAAUGACAUGAGCAAUUUCAUCAAUUCCUCCGGCAAAAUACCAUCAACAACUCCAUUAGUCUUCACCGCCAUCACAGAAAGAAAAACAACAAGAGAAAAAGCUUCACAGAUUUAGGGGGAGCUAAGAAAUAAAACCUUACAGGUUCUAAAAAAAUAUAC